rnacentral:rRNA from 1 species
GAUGAACGCUGGCGGCGUGCCUAAUACAUGCAAGUCGAGCGAACAGACGAGGAGCUUGCUCCUCUGACGUUAGCGGCGGACGGGUGAGUAACACGUGGAUAACCUACCUAUAAGACUGGGAUAACUUCGGGAAACCGGAGCUAAUACCGGAUAAUAUAUUGAACCGCAUGGUUCAAUAGUGAAAGACGGCUUUGCUGUCACUUAUAGAUGGAUCCGCGCCGCAUUAGCUAGUUGGUAAGUUAACGGCUUACCAAGGCAACGAUGCGUAGCCGACCUGAGAGGGUGAUCGGCCACACUGGAGCUGAGACGCGGUCCAGACUCCUACGGGAGGCAGCAGUAGGUACUCUUCCGCAAUGGGCGGAAGCCUGACGGAGCGACGCAGCGUGGGUGAUGAAGGUCUUCGGAUCGUAAAACUCUGUUAUUGGGGAAGAACAAAUGUGUAAGUAACUAUGCACGUCUUGACGGUACCUAAUCAGAAAGCCCCGGCUAACUACGU